rnacentral:rRNA from 1 species
AUGAACGCUAGCGGCAGGCCUAACACAUGCAAGUCGAGGGGCAGUCACGGGUAGCAAUACUUGGUGGCGACCGGCGCACGGGUGAGUAACGCGUAUGCAACCUACCUAUAACAGGGGGAUAGCCCGGAGAAAUUCGGAUUAAAACCGCAUAAUAUUGCGAUAUCGCAUGAUAAUGCAAUAAAAGCUUCGGUGGUUAUAGAUGGGCAUGCGUGACAUUAGCUAGUUGGUGAGGUAACGGCUCACCAAGGCAGCGAUGUCUAGGGGCCUGAGAGGGUAGUCCCCCACACUGGUACUGAGACACGGACCAGACUCCUACGGGAGGCAGCAGUGAGGAAUAUUGCGCAAUGGACGAAAGUCUGACGCAGCCAUGCCGCGUGCAGGAUUGACGGCCCUAUGGGUUGUAAACUGCUUUUGUGUAGGAAGAAACUCAACUACGUGUAGUUGACUGACGGUACUAUAUGAAUAAGCAUCGGCUAACUCCGUGCCAGCAGCUGC